rnacentral:rRNA from 1 species
UACGUAGGCCACAAACGUUAUCCGGAUUUAUUGGGCGUAAAGGGUCCGUAGGCGGAUCGAUAAGUAGAUUGGUAAAUACCGGGGCUCAACUCCGGGACUCUGAUCUAAACUGUCGGUCUAGAGCAAGGUAGAGGCAGAUGGAAUUUCUGGAGUAGGGGUUAAAUCCGUUGAUCCCAGAAGGAACACCAAAAGCGAAAGCAGUCUGCUGGAACUUCGCUGACGCUCAGGGACGAAAGCGUGGGGAGCAAACAGG